GUGAGGAAUAUUGGUCAAUGGGCGCAAGCCUGAACCAGCCACGUCGCGUGAGGGAAGACGGUCCUAAGGAUUGUAAACCUCUUUUGUACGGGAAUAAAAUACCCACGAGCUGGGGAAUUGCAUGUACCGUACGAAUAAGCAUCGGCUAACUCCGUGCCAGCAGCCGCGGUAAUACGGAGGAUGCGAGCGUUAUCCGGAUUUAUUGGGUUUAAAGGGUGCGUAGGUUGUUUUGUAAGUCAGUGGUGAAACCCCGUGGCUCAACCCCGGGCAUGCCAUUGAAACUGCAGGACUUGAGAAUGGACGAGGCAGGCGGAAUGUGUGGUGUAGCGGUGAAAUGCAUAGAUAUCACACAGAACACCGAUUGCGAAGGCAGCUUGCCAGACCAUGUCUGACACUGAAGCACGAAAGCGUGGGUAUCGAACAGGA
rnacentral:rRNA from 1 species